rnacentral:rRNA from 1 species
GAGGAGACAGGUGGUGCAUGGUUGUCGUCAGCUCGUGUCGUGAGAUGUUGGGUUAAGUCCCGCAACGAGCGCAACCCUUGAUUUUAGUUGCCAGCACAUAAAGGUGGGCACUCUAGAAUGACUGCCGGUGACAAACCGGAGGAAGGCGGGGAUGACGUCAAAUCAUCAUGCCCCUUAUGACCUGGGCUACACACGUACUACAAUGGCUGGUACAACGGGAAGCGAAGUCGCGAGAUGGAGCGAAUCCUAAAAAGCCAGUCUCAGUUCGGAUUGCAGGCUGCAACUCGCCUGCAUGAAGUCGGAAUUGCUAGUAAUCGCGGAUCAGCAUGCCGCGGUGAAUACGUUCCCGGGUCUUGUACACACCGCCCGUCACACCACGAGAGUUUACAACACCCGAAGUCGGUGAGGUAACCGCAAGG